GAUGAACGCUGGCGGCGUGCCUAAUACAUGCAAGUCGAGCGAACAGACGAGGAGCUUGCUCCUCUGACGUUAGCGGCGGACGGGUGAGUAACACGUGGAUAACCUACCUAUAAGACUGGGAUAACUUCGGGAAACCGGAGCUAAUACCGGAUAAUAUAUUGAACCGCAUGGUUCAAUAGUGAAAGACGGUUUUGCUGUCACUUAUAGAUGGAUCCGCGCCCAUUAGCUAGUUGGUAAGGUAACGGCUUACCAAGGCGACGAUGCGUAGCCGACCUGAGAGGGUGAUCGGCCACACUGGAACUGAGACACGGUCCAGACUCCUACGGGAGGCAGCAGUAGGGAAUCUUCCGCAAUGGGCGAAAGCCUGACGGAGCAACGCCGCGUGAGUGAUGAAGGUCUUCGGAUCGUAAAACUCUGUUAUUAGGGAAGAACAAAUGUGUAAGUAACUAUGCACGUCUUGACGGUACCUAAUCAGAAAGCCACGGCUAACUACGUG
rnacentral:rRNA from 1 species